GAUGAACGCUGGCGGCGUGCCUAAUACAUGCAAGUCGAGCGAACGGACGAGAAGCUUGCUUCUCUGAUGUUAGCGGCGGACGGGUGAGUAACACGUGGAUAAUCUACUUAUAAGACUGGGAUAACUUCGGGAAACCGGAGCUAAUACCGGAUGAUAUUUUGAACCGCAUGGUUCAAAAGUGAAAGACGGUCUUGCUGUCACUUAUAGAUGGAUCCGCGCUGCAUUAGCUAGUUGGUAAGGUAACGGCUUACCAAGGCAACGAUGCAUAGCCGACCUGAGAGGGUGAUCGGCCACACUGGAACUGAGACACGGUCCAGACUCCUACGGGAGGCAGCAGUAGGGAAUCUUCCGCAAUGGGCGAAAGCCUGACGGAGCAACGCCGCGUGAGUGAUGAAGGUCUUCGGAUCGUAAAACUCUGUUAUUAGGGAAGAACAUAUGUGUAAGUAACUGUGCACAUCUUGACGGUACCUAAUCAGAAAGCCACGGCUAACUACGUG
rnacentral:rRNA from 1 species